CAGCUGGAGGCUCUGUGUGUGGCAGCCUGGAGACCCCACAACCUCCAGCCAGAGGCCUGAAGCAUGAGGCCAUGCCAGGUGCCAGAUGAUGCUGGGAAUUUUCCCGAGUGCUUCGGGUCUUCCCAGCACACUGGUCUCACCCACCCUGCCUCUCGGGCUCUGCCCAGCUUCCUGAGUCCUGACAGAGCACAGUGGGGGAGAUGUUGGCAGAAGUGGCAGAUGGGCUCAUGGCCAUCCCUCCUGCAGGAGCAGCAGCUGGAGCCAGAGCCAUGUGGCUGUGCCCUCUGGCCCUCACCCUCACCUUGACGGCAGCCUCUGGUGCUGCGCACGAAGGGAAGGACG
rnacentral:sRNA from 1 species